rnacentral:tRNA from 1 species
GCCCGAGUGGCGGAAUGGCAGACGCGGGCGACUCAAAAUCGUCAGUCCGAAAGGACGUGGGGGUUCGACUCCCCCCUCGGGCA